UUGACCUCGAAUCAGGUAGGACUACCCGCUGAACUUAAGCAUAUCAAUAAGCGGAGGAAAAGAAACCAACAGGGAUUGCCCCAGUAACGGCGAGUGAAGCGGCAACAGCUCAAAUUUGAAAUCUGGCCCUCGGGUCCGAGUUGUAAUUUAUAGAGGAUGCUUUUGGAGAGGUGCCUUCCGAGUUCCCUGGAACGGGACGCCUCAGAGGGUGAGAGCCCCGCAUGGUCGGACACCGAGCCUCUGUAAAGCUCCUUCGACGAGUCGAGUAGUUUGGGAAUGCUGCUCAAAAUGGGAGGUAUAUGUCUUCUAAAGCUAAAUAUUGGCCAGAGACCGAUAGCGCACAAGUAGAGUGAUCGAAAGAUGAAAAG
rnacentral:rRNA from 1 species